rnacentral:lncRNA from 1 species
GUUUAUAAUGUCAGACAGACUGCCAGAUCCUGACAAUGACCCGAAGAUUACAGGCACCUCAGUUCCUGCACCUGGACCAAUGAGCAGAUGCUCAGAUAUGAAACCUGCCGCCUGCCAGAACCUGGCCGAGACUGUGGACAAAGCUGCUGGACGCUGGAAAAUUGAUUGUACCCCUUUGCCUAGACAAAACAAGGUCAGUCUUUUCCAUGUCCCUCUUCCACAGAGAGAAAAUAAAACCUCUCACAGAUAGGCCUGGCGAAGAUUGUUGUUCUUUGAGACAGCUGCCUCCAACGGUUUCUGCUUCUGACAGACAUCUGAGUACCAGUUGCUGACUUCAGACUGUUCUAAGUAGACUGCGAACCCUAGACUUGCUAUGGAUGUGAACUAGUCUGCUGAUAUGGACACCCCCUAUCUCUGCAACAGUGUCUGCUAACCAGAAGCCCCUGAUGGAUUCCCCGUUGCCUAAAUUCCUUUUUGCUUUUGACUAGCAUUUCAACCUUCUGGGGUCCCUAACUUCGUCCCAAAGUCAGCAGGAAGCAGUUUGGAAAAGAAUUUCGCCGUCCAUUCUCCCUGGUUGAAAUGCUAAGUCAAAGGGA